GACGAACGCUGGCGGCGUGCCUAAUACAUGCAAGUAGAACGCACAGUUUAUACCGUAGCUUGCUACACCAUAGACUGUGAGUUGCGAACGGGUGAGUAACGCGUAGGUAACCUGCCUGGUAGCGGGGGAUAACUAUUGGAAACGAUAGCUAAUACCGCAUAACAUUGAUUAUUGCAUGAUAAUUGAUUGAAAGAUGCUAUUGCAUCACUACCAGAUGGACCUGCGUUGUAUUAGCUAGUAGGUGAGGUGACGGCUCACCUAGGGGACGAUACAUAGCCGACCUGAGAGGGGGAUCGGCCAAGCUGGUCCUGGGGCACGACCCGGACUCCUACGAGAGACAGCAGUAGGGGAUUUUCGGCAAUGGACGAAAGUGUGACCGAUCAACGCCGCGUGAGUGAAGAAGGUUUUCGGAUCGUAAGACUCUGUUAUAAGAGAAGAACGGGUGUGAGAGUGGAAAGUUCACACUGUGACAGUAUCUGACCAGAAAGCGACGGCUAACUACGUG
rnacentral:rRNA from 1 species